GAGUUUGAUCCUGGCUCAGAUUGAACGCUGGCGGCAUGCCUAACACAUGCAAGUCGAGCGGCAGCGCGGGGGCAACCCUGGCGGCGAGCGGCGGACGGGUGAGUAAGGCAUCGGAAUCUGCCCUGAUGUGGGGGAUAACGUAGGGAAACUUACGCUAAUACCGCAUACGACCGAGAGGUGAAAGCGGGGGACCGAAAGGCCUCGCGCAGCAGGAUGAGCCGAUGUCCGAUUAGCUGGUUGGUGGGGUAAUGGCCUACCAAGGCGACGAUCGGUAGCUGGUCUGAGAGGAUGAUCAGCCACACUGGGACUGAGACACGGCCCAGACUCCUACGGGAGGCAGCAGUGGGGAAUAUUGGACAAUGGGGGCAACCCUGAUCCAGCAAUGCCGCGUGUGUGAAGAAGGCCUUCGGGUUGUAAAGCACUUUUAUCGGGAGCGAAACGCGCCGGGUUAAUACCUUGGCGAACUGACGGUACCCGAGGAAUAAGCACCGGCUAACUCCGUGCCAGCAGCCGCGGUAUUACGGAGGGUGCAAGCGUAAUCGGAGUUACUGGGCGUAAAGCGUGCGUAGGCGGUAAGUUA
rnacentral:rRNA from 1 species